CCUUGACUCUAAAAUUUGUUUUGAUACUGGUAAAGUCGUUUCUUUGUUUUCUCCGACGUCGGCAAAGCUUCACGUCUCUGCGAUUCGUGGCCUGAUUAGAGUUAUGCUUUGUGAGUUUGGAGGAGGAUGAUUGUUCUAGGGCGUCAUUGAAGAGGAGUUAACUUACAUCAGUGUAGGCCGUGUCCGCAUCAUUCCAUUGUCAAUGCUCCUCGGAUUCUUCCUCGUCGUCAUAAUCUGCAACAGAGAAGAUCCAAUUUGUUAAUUGGGUUGUUUUCUACUUUUAUUGGUUAAAAUUAAACUGAAUCAGUUUUUUAUGUUUUAUCAUAUGAGGUUUCGUUUGUUAAUUUGCUUGGUUUUGUAUUAAACUAAUUGUUCAGACGCAUAGCUGGAGGUGGGAGUAAACAUACCUGUUGAUGUUGGGAGACCAUUUGCGACGUAUAGCUGACCAUGACUGAAUACUGGUUUUGGCAAGUAUAGGGAGACGUUUGACAAAGUCUGUCCUUGACUUUUAUUUAUUGUCAUUGCAUAACAUACCCGAAUCGGGAACUGGUGCCGCUUCAAGGUGAAUGGAUGGUUGGAUUCUGGUGGUGACAGUAUGAUCCGUGGUAGCAGAAUUGGAUCCCUCUUGGUUGUUGAUGUAAGCAUCUCGGUUUUAAUCACCUUUUCCCCCAUCUCGUAAUAGCCUUUUGGUUCAGAUUCCGUAUGAGCAUGACAGGAACACCCACUUUCAGGCGUAGUUUAUGAGCAGGUAGACCCGGGAAUUCCAUUGCGUUCAGAUAUUCAACUGGGGACUUUAGAGACCAAGAAGUUGUUUAUCUCAUCGACCGUGACAUUUCUGGGGGUUAAGAUGGCUGUCUCUCUCAGUUUGCUGAAGUCUUUGUAGUCAUUUGCAAAAUCAGGAAACGCAGAAGAACAUAGUGUCUCUAAAGGAUUGGAAGUUACGGGCAGAAGGAUUCUGUCGUCUAUGAAUAUUUGAUCUUCUGGUGUGUCACAGGUUGACUGCAUCUGAGGUUCUUUUGCUGCUAUGCCAUCACCGACCUGUAGAAUCCAGUCUGCAAAAUCCUUCUCUUCCGCUUGGACGCGCAUAUUUUGGCUGAGGAGGAAAAUUUUGCAGUGUUUCCAGAGCUGGGAACGAUUCAGAGCUGCAUUAACUGUCUCUUGUCUUGUUCCUUGUUGAAUGACGGGCAAAAUUUGACGGAAAUCACCACCUAAAAGGACCGUUUUUCCACCAAACGGUUUUGUUGAAGCUGUUGUAUCUGUUCCGGAUAAAAUAUCUCUGAAAGUUCGAUCAACUGCCUCAAGACUAUGACGGUGAGCCUUAGGAGCUUCAUCCCAGAUAAUGAGAUCUGUUUCGCUGAGGAAGUUGGCGAGUAAUGUACCAGCUUUGACCUCACAGAAAGUGUCUUCAUACAGCUUCAAAGGGAUAUUGAACCUUGAAUGUGCUGUGCGACCACCUGGCAAGAGAAGCGCGGCAAUGGCAGAAGAUGCAACGGGAAUUACUCUUUUACUGCUUGAUCUUAAUGCUGCAAUGAUUGCUCUGUAUAUGAAGGUUUUCCCUGUACCUCCUGCUCCAUAUAGAAAAAAGAGCUUGCCUUGUUUCUCGUUGACGGACUUCAUAACGGCCUCAUACACUGCGAGCUGUUGAUUGUUGAGUGUUGAAAACAGGUUCUGGUGGAUAAUGGUUUCCUCAGCUAUGUCAAACUGGUUCUGCCUCGCCAUAGCUCUGGUUUUCAUCUCGUCCAUAACAGCUUUUUCUGGCAGUGGCUUUCCCGUGAACUCAGUCAAAGACUUCUCAAAGUUAUGUAGCAUUCUCUCUAUUUCUAGAAGUGUGUACUGCUGGAGUUCGUUUGGUGUUAGUUUGAGGUCUGGGAACUUGAGUAACCGUCUCUGCUGCCUAAGGACAUCUUCUGCCAUAUCUUCCCAAGAAUGAUCCCAAAGUUUCUGUGGUUCUGAUACUUGACAGAAGACGAGAAUUAGUACAAACAUGUAGCAAAGAGAGCUUGGUGUUGAGAAUUGAGCUGCUUCCGUCAUUGAGUCGUGCCAGUCCUUGUCUGUUCCGAGCAACCCUCUUGCAUAACAUGCUUCUUGAAAGGUGUCGUAUCUGAUAUCACCCACUGUUUUUAAAUAGUCAUAGCUUGUUGCGCCUCGUACUACGCUGACCAAGAUGUGAAGGUACCUACUCUCUACGUUCUCAAGGUCCUCACCCUCUUCAAACACGGCUAGAUGUUCCCCAGGAAGGUGGACUGGCAUCUUCUGGACGGCUGGGACGUUGUGGUGGAUAUCAAACAUAAAUAUUCUCCACAUUGAUUCACACGCUGAGAGGUAUCUACCUUCGACGUAAUCGUUUAUCUCAUUCUUUGGCGUUUCUUUUUUUGUGGACUCCGACUGAGAAGACUGAUCCCCGGUUUUCUGGAGCUUGAAGCAUGCUCUAUCAACGCCCUUUGUAAUGUACUUGAACAGGAUCUGUAGAUUGUGGGGAACAACAAAUUUAUUAUCAAGCUUGAUGGUUCCCUUGUUAACAAACUGUUCUGUCUGACGCCUCCUGUAUAAAAUAUAGCCCGAGUCAUUAACCUGAGUGUGUGUAACAUAGCUGCGUGGGAAUUUCUUUGUGCAGACACCAUUCUCCAUGCAGGGGGAUGUUUUGCUAUCUUUCCCACAGGGACCGUGUAUCAUGUCUUGUUCCACUAAACCAAAGGUCUCAAGAUCUUUUUCUUUGUCAGGGAGCUCUGCUGAAAUGAUUCUGUCAAUAUCAAAAGCAGUGGGAUUUCUGAAGUCCCCUUCAAGCCAUAGAAGUAUAUGAGCGUGUGUAAAGUACGCAGUAGUAAUGCGGGAUCGAAUCCACAGGGACCGAUGAUCACACGUAGAGUUGCAGACAAGUUAAUAGCUACAGCGAAUCAAGAUAUAUUUUUGAUGAUUUUUAUCUAAUUUUCUUAGGUGUCACAAAGCAUAAACAAGCAUGUAAAAAGAUUAUUUAAACGAUUUGAAAACUA